GACGGAGGGUGCAAGCGUUAUCCGGAUUCACUGGGUUUAAAGGGUGCGUAGGUGGGCAGGUAAGUCAGUGGUGAAAUCUCCGGGCUUAACUCGGAAACUGCCAUUGAUACUAUCUUUCUUGAAUACCGUGGAGGUCAGCGGAAUAUGUCAUGUAGCGGUGAAAUGCUUAGAUAUGACAUAGAACACCAAUUGCGAAGGCAGCUGGCUACACGAAUAUUGACACUGAUGCACGAAAGCGUGGGGAUCAAACAGG
rnacentral:rRNA from 1 species